rnacentral:rRNA from 1 species
UACGGAGGAUGCAAGCGUUAUCCGGAAUGAUUGGGCGUAAAGCGUUCGUAGGUGGUUAUUCAAGUCUGCUGUUAAAGAGCCUGGCUUAACCAGAUAAGGGCAGUGGAAACUGAAAGACUAGAGAGUGGUAGGGGCAGAGGGAAUUCCUGGUGUAGCGGUGAAAUGCGUAGAGAUCAGGAAGAACACCGGUGGCGAAAGCGCUCUGCUGGACCACAACUGACACUGAGGGACGAAAGCUAGGGGAGCGAAUGGG